rnacentral:tRNA from 1 species
AAGGACUUAGGUUAAUUUAGACCAAGGGCCUUCAAAGCCCUUAGUGGAGGUGAAACUCUUCCAGCCCUUG